UACGGAGGAUGCAAGCGUUAUCCGGAAUGAUUGGGCGUAAAGCGUCCGCAGGUGGCAAUGUAAGUCUGCUGUCAAAGCGUCUGGCUCAACCAGAUAAAGGCAGUGGAAACUACAUAGCUAGAGUAAGGUAGGGGUAGAGGGAAUUCCUGGUGUAGCGGUGAAAUGCGUAGAGAUCAGGAAGAACACCGGUGGCGAAAGCGCUCUGCUGGACCUUAACUGACACUGAGGACGAAAGCUAGGGAGCGAAUGG
rnacentral:rRNA from 1 species